AAGCGCGAGAUUAAUUUUUUUUUUUUCUGUUUUGUUUCUUUUUUUUUUUUUUUUUUUUACUUGCGAGGCAGCGUGGAGACGUGAUGCACGGCGCGUCAGACCCACGGGGCUUUGGCCCCUCAGUACUUUGUCUCUGCUAGGAGAAACAACUCUAAAAUAAGUCCCUACCUGAGACAGGAUGGCAUCCCAUCCCAGGACAUGAGUAAAUACUUCAUCCAACCCUCAAUAAUGAACUUCAUUGACAUGGAUAAAGUAAAAUUCUACGUGAGCCAAGCUCUAUCCGGAUGCCCUGAGCCCAUCUGUAUGCUCCAGGAACUUGGUCUUUAGGUUUUUGAAAGUUGCUUCUCCUUUGUGUGUUUUCUUGGAGGAAACGAUCAUUCCUCCCACAUCUACCUUUGAAAAGUCUCCAGGAGCCUCACAAAUUCAGUUUACCAGAUUAAAAAAGUGGUUUUAGAGCAGAUGAUCCUGCCUAAAUCCAAGAUGUCUUGAAUGAAUGAGGAGACCCAAUAACCUCCACUCCAUCUCUUGUGUUCUCUGGUUGCGUUGAGAGACUACCUAGCUGAAGAAGAGAGAUGAGCAUCAGGGAGCAGAAGUCCUUUUGGGAUGAGUUCUCUUCCUUCUUCACUGUGAUGAGGGCCUGUGGGGACAUCUGGAUCUCUAGGGAACAUCACUAAAUAGGACCAGAUAACCUCAAAAUAUUAGACCCAGACCAGCUCUGUCAUCUAUGAUUCACUUGCUGUAUAACGACUAAUAAAGGCAAUAUGUGUGGAACCAGGAAGACAGCCAAUAUAGCUUCUUCCAAGAACUGUGAGUAAUUAACUGGGUCCCUGGUUAAUUUCUUUCAUGAAAAUGUGUUGAGUGCGAUUCUUACAAGUGGUGCUUUUUGUGUGACGUCUCGCUCUACUCCCAAACAGCACAAGUUCAUGCAAUUGGAAAGGAAGAAAAAGUAAAAGACAAAGUUUCAAAAUCCUGGGGGUAUUUUUUUCUCCAUCUGCUUCAGCUAACAUUUCCUUGCUCCUCCUUAGUUCCUAAUCUCCUGGUGGUUUUCCUCUCAAAACCUGGUCUAUAACCCAGCCAUAGAUACUGUAUCCUUGUAUAACAUGCUCCAGCUUCUUGCUUUAGUUCGAGGUGUUUCAAAUCUCUGGUGUCAAAACUUUCCUAAGAUGAAAGAAGACUAAUUAGUUGCAUCAUGUCCCAAAGGAGCAAAAAACUCACCCAAAGCACCAUGUUGUCCUUCUUUGUGGACCUCACAUCACAGCAGCUAUGAAGAAGAGGAAAAAACAACUCUCAGCCUGUGAAAUCACCAUUAUACCACCAUUAGGAAAUCUCCGGCUCUUUCACUCUGUGUACUUCAGGCUUUCCCCUAUUACUGCUCUUGAGGCAGCGCAUUGCUGUCCGGGGCUGAGGCCAUGUCUCCUCUGACCUUAACAAGCAUUUUCUUCCUCGCUAUGACAGAGCGAGCGGCCUGUGGGAGAUGUCUGAGUUGCCCAAAGCAAACGGAGCCCACCCCCACCCCAAGCAGCGGAGGAUGCUCCAAGCAAACAAAUGAAGUGAUGGAUGGUUCCCUCUAAAAGAAGGGCAGAUUUUAAGUGACAAGAAUCCUGCCACGGAUAUGUUGAGGAUGAAUACAUAUGAUAACAAUUUAAUAUGUACACCACACAAGCGAAAAGUAUAUUAGUAUCACAUGGCAUGGUUGAAUUAGAUAUUUUAAUUAAACCUAAAUUUAUCUCACUGAUAGUGACUGGCAGUGGAUAGUUUGGGAAAUACACAAGCGUUUCACUGAAAUCAUUGGUUUAAACAGAAGGGUAGUAGCCUCUUUCAAUACUUCAAACAUAUUAUGAACAGGUCAGCUAAGUGUUAUGCAGAAAUAAUAUUAAGCUGCUACUGAAUGAGGUAAUGAGGUGACAGAACACAGAAUAUCCUAUGGCAUAACAUUUGCCACACAUGGCUGUCUCUGCAGGUCCUGUGCUUUAGGAAGCCUCGUAAACAUAAUGUCUGGUCUUCACCCCCUUAAGUUAUUUUCUUAAGAUGCUUUUUUCAUAACCCUAGGAAAUAAAUAGAUGUGAUCAGGGACCAGGAAAACUGAACAACAACAAAACUUGUAUCACUAUGAAAACAUUCACAUCUAUUGCAUGAAAUAGAAAGGGACCAAUAUUUGGCCAAAACAAGUGGAAUCUAUGAUUUGUUGGGAAUCUAGGAAUAUUUCCACCUUUUUUUCAGUGAAAUGUACCAGUUUGAAUAGCACCAGCUUGUUUUUAUUGCGUAAUUUGACUCUGUGGAUUGAAUUAUUUUUGCCAAGUUUUGUCAAUCUGCCUGGCGUGUUUUAUACAAUUUACGCACAGUUAAUACAUCAUUCAUCAACUCCAUGCAAAUGAUGGGGGUUUUUUUCCUUCUCUCUGCUCCUAAUGUCACACAAUAACGUCUGCCCAGUUCUGACUAAAUUAUCCAGCUAAACUUUGAGAUAUAUAUGUGUAUUAAGUAAUAUAGCAUUUUGCUUCUUCACUCCUUCA